GGGUGAUGUAACAUAAUUUGAACCUACAACCUGUCUCUUCAUAGUAUAGCCCUUAAAAAUUAUUUUAAUUUUUAAAUUAUGUCAUUUUAAGAGAAGCAGAAAUGCAGCUUUUAUAUCAUGGACUACUAGCUGUAGUUCUUCCAGUGUCCUUUAUUUUACAUAGGUAAUAACAUGCUGCACAUUUGAAUUUUCUCAUAACAAUUCCCUACAGAUAUAAUUUGAUGCUUCUGCUGAUUUCAUAGCACCAUUUUACGUCAUUUAUUUAGUAAUGAAAUGUGUUAACAUCCACUAGAAACACUUCACCUUAUACCUUCAAAGCAUAUUAACUAUUCCUUAAAAACAUAAAGUUGCUUGUUUACUUGUUCUUUGUGUUGUAGGUGCAGCUCAAGGAAGAUGAUGACAACCAGAAGAGACAUGAGCUAAGGGUAAGUGACUAUUCUUCAGAAGAACCUUUUGCAUUUAAAUGAUCAAGAUAUGGGAGCCUGUUCUCUGGAAUGUUGAAGAUACAUCCUAACUAUUUCAGGAAAUAUUGAACUGGAAUAAGCAUUAAGGAGCACAUUUUCUUGGCUUAGUUAUUGGUCACUUAAUGAAAUGUGCCACUUUUACUCUAUAGUCUUUUUUCUCCUUCAUUUUAGUUUGGUAUUCUGUAUGCCUUCAAUUUAGAAGGAUGAUCUUCAAAAACAAUUUCCAAAGUGGCAAGACAUUGUCUUAAGUAUUUGUUGUAUGUUUUAUUCCUUUAGAUGAUACUAUUAAAAUACUUGAUUGUUUCCCACAGUAGCAAAAACAUAUGCUGUAAUCUUAAAAUUAUUAAUUAAUAAAAUAUUUAGGUGUUCAAAUAUUGCUGUUUAGCUUUAGUGUCCCAAAACAACUUGCAAAGAUACACUAAAUUUUUUUAUAGACCAAAAUCAGAUCAUUACAAUUUUUUUAGCAUAGAGGAAGAUACAGUAUAAAUCUCAAAUACAAAAGUAAUGCAUAUUUCUUCCACUAAAGGAUACUAAUUAGGCAAGAGAAAGAAGAUUGAUUUCAGCAUGCUUUUGCUUUUAACUUUUUUGCUUUGAUCUUGAGGUUGAUGUAUUUAUUCUUUUCCUGACUGGUCUUAAAUACUAGGAGUGCCAUGGAAAAUGCUAAUAAUUAUUCCUUUAGAAAUUAGAAAUGGGCAGUUUACAGCCAUGCUUGCUCAAAAAGCUGGUUACAUGAAAGUCUGGGGAUUCAAAAGGAACUUAAUCUACAGUUUAUUUCCUACCUUCCACCCCAAAACUAUAAUGAACAAAUUUCUCAUAAAAGUUUUUGAGAAUUUUAUAUACUUCAACUACAGUUAGAAUUCACUACCUCUUAAUUUAGACUUAUUUGUUGUUUUCCAAAUAUUUUAUUGUAGUGGGCUACUAUAAAAUUGUUAUAUAAAAUUUGCCACGUUACUACUGUACUAUAUCACUUGCCAUAAAUAUUUUGAGGCAUUUAAUCUUGUAAAUCUGACAGCCCUAUAAGUUUUAAAGUUAAGGUCGUCUGCUUCAGAAGGAUAUAUUUCAUAUGUCUAGUCUUGUUUGCAUGCCACUGAAAUGAAUGAAAAAAAGCAACUACUUACAUAUAGUAAGUAACAUGUGAGGCAAGUAGUGUAGGAUAUCAGAUGGGAAUGGAGACAGGUAAAAUAUUUCCAAGUUUUAUAAGGACACUUAUGAAGACCUUGGAACCUCCCAAGGCUCUUUCUAUUUAGUCUUGUUUUGAAAUAGAUUAUCCAGUCUUUAUUUUCUAGAUUUGAAUUCACCUAUUGUUUUUUCUUGGGUCAUUGUGCUUAUUUACUCUAUAGCUAAUCAGGUAAAGGGCCUAUGGGGAGCUCACAGUGUAAAAGCAUUAUAUAUACACUGUACUUGCAUUGGAAAGAAUUAGCUUUCAAGCAAGAAUAAUUUCAACUUUUUGGUCAUUUAGCAAAAUUUUAUAUUUUUAAGGAAGAGUAUUAACAAGAAAGCAUAACUGGAUUUUUAAAAUUUGAAGGACAUGAAAUGUAAGCUCUUUGGAACCAAACAGUACAAAUUUGAUAUUUCUGCUUAUAUCAGUUUGAAUUGUAUAACAUGGGUAAGAAUUUAUGGAUUCAAUUCUAAAUAAAUAUGCUUCUUCUGAA